rnacentral:rRNA from 1 species
CCUACGGGCGGCAGCAGUGAGGAAUAUUGGUCAAUGGGCGGGAGCCUGAACCAGCCAAGCCGCGUGAGGGAAGAAGGUACAACGUAUCGUAAACCUCUUUUGUCGGGGAGCAAAAGCCGCCACUAGUCGCCGUAUGAGAGUACCUGAAGAAAAAGCAUCGGCUAACUCCGUGCCAGCAGCCGCGGUAAUACGGAGGAUGCGAGCGUUAUCCGGAUUUAUUGGGUUUAAGGGGUGCGCAGGCGGACGGUUAAGUCAGCGGUAAAAGCACGGGGCUCAACCCCGGCGAGCCGUUGAAACUGGCGUGCUGGAGUGGGAGAGAAGUAUGCGGAAUGCGCGGUGUAGCGGUGAAAUGCAUAGAUAUCGCGCAGAACCCCGAUUGCGAAGGCAGCGUACCGGCGCCACACUGACGCUGAGGCACGAAAGUGUGGGUAUCGAACAGGAUUAGAUACCCGAGUAGUC